GAUGAACGCUGGCGGCGUGCCUAAUACAUGCAAGCCGAGCGAACAGAUAAGGAGCUUGCUCCUUUGACGUUAGCGGCGGACGGGUGAGUUACACGUGGAUAACCUACCUAUAAGACUGGGAUAACUUCGGGAAACCGGAGCUAAUACCGGAUAACAUAUUGAACCGCAUGGUUCAAUAGUGAAAGGCGGCUUUGCUGUCACUUAUAGAUGGAUCCGCGCCGUAUUAGCUAGUUGGUAAGGUAACGGCUUACCAAGGCAACGAUACGUAGCCGACCUGAGAGGGUGAUCGGCCACACUGGAACUGAGACACGGUCCAGACUCCUACGGGAGGCAGCAGUAGGGAAUCUUCCGCAAUGGGCGAAAGCCUGACGGAGCAACGCCGCGUGAGUGAUGAAGGUCUUCGGAUCGUAAAACUCUGUUAUCAGGGAAGAACAAAUGUGUAAGUAACUGUGCACAUCUUGACGGUACCUGAUCAGAAAGCCACGGCUAACUACGUG
rnacentral:rRNA from 1 species